UACGUAGGUGACCAGCGUUGUCCGGAUUUACUGGGCGUAAAGAGCGCGCAGGCGGUCGUUCAAGCCGAGUGUGAAAGCCCCCGGCUCAACUGGGGAGGGUCACUCGAUACUGAUCGACUUGAAGGCAGGAGAGGGAAGCGGAAUUCCCGGUGUAGUGGUGAAAUGCGUAGAUAUCGGGAGGAACACCAGUGGCGAAGGCGGCUUCCUGGCCUGUUCUUGACGCUGAGGCGCGAAAGCUAGGGGGAGCCAAACGGG
rnacentral:rRNA from 1 species